GAGUGUGUAAACGGUGCCACCUGUGUGUCUGAUGGGCGCCUCCCUGUGGGCAGCGGUGAAUAUGUGUGUGUCUGUCAGAGCGGAUUCACGGGCAGGAGGUGUGAGGUGGACAUUGACGACUGUAAACCAAACCCCUGCAGACUGGGGCGAUGCAUUGACAGACCAGACUCUUUCUCCUGCGUUUGUCCUCCUGGCAUGACUGGUCGUACUUGUAGGGAGGACAUAGAUGAAUGUGUCCAUCAGCCUUGUUUUCCAGGUGUGGGCUGUAACAACACUCUGGGCUCCUUCAUCUGUGGAGUCUGUCCUCAGGGAUUCAACGGUGAUGGUAGAAACUGCUCACCUAAAUUACCAACCGGUCCAGGUAAAGUGCCUCCAGUUUUACUGAGGACAAAACCAUCAGCACCGCUGUCUCCCUGCAGCAGGAGACCCUGUCAU